rnacentral:misc_RNA from 1 species
CGCAAACUACUUAGGCGGAGUUGCAGUCAAGAUUUACAUGGAUGCAAAAUCUGAACCUAGUCAUUUACUGCAUCAAGUGUGAUUACAGGAUGACAAUGAAACUGGAGAAGGUAGUAAAUUGAUGAAAAACAAACAAAAGAACAAGAAAAAUGGUUCACACAAUUUGAGAGAAUUGUAUGAGAAGCAAGUACAAAGAGAAAGAAAAAAGCAAGAAUUGAGAGGGAGGCAGUUAUUAAAGCAAAGCAGGAAGAAAGAGAGAAGGCUGAAGCUUGUAGAGAAGCUGAAAGAGAAAAGAUGUACAAGAAGACUCGGCAUGGUCCGCCUGUUAUGAAGUAUAGAAUCGAGCAUCUCUUUCAGACCAUUCAAGGUUCAAACUGAAUUUGGUUAACCAUUCAGAACCAAGCAUAUUUGUUAUUUGUGGCUUGGCCACCUGCAUAACUUACAAAAGCCACUGACUGCUGGAGUUUCAAAAUAUUGUGGUUUUAUUUCUUGGAACUUUACUUACAAGUUGAGUUGUUGUUGAACAUUAGUUUUCAGGAGUUUUUGACAUUACAAAGAAAAACAAUUUUGAUGUGGUAUUGGGGAUAUGUUGAUUCCAUUGUAACGAUAUUGAUCAGUAGCUAAGUUCUCAAACCUGGCUAAUUUAGUCGUUG